UACGAAGGGUGCUAGCGUUGUUCGGAAUCACUGGGCGUAAAGCGCGCGUAGGCGGCUUUUCAAGUCAGGGGUGAAAUCCCACGGCUCAACCGUGGAAUUGCCCUUGAAACUGGGAAGCUGGAGUAUUGGAGGGGAUAGCGGAAUUGCUAAUGUAGAGGUUAAAUUCGUAGAUAUUAGCAGGAACACCGGUGGCGAAGGCGGCUAUCUGGACAAUUACUGACGCUGAAGUGCGAAAGCGUGGGGAUCUACCAGG
rnacentral:rRNA from 1 species